UACGUAGGAUGCAAGCGUUGUCCGGAUUUAUUGGGCGUAAAGAGAACGUAGGUGGUUUCUUAAGUUUGGUCUUAAAGACCGGGGCUCAACCCCGGGAAUGGAUCGAAUACUGGGAGACUAGAGGAUGUUAGAGGAAAGUGGAAUUCCAAGUGUAGCGGUGAAAUGCGUAGAUAUUUGGAGGAACACCAGUGGCGAAAGCGGCUUUCUGGGACAUUCCUGACACUGAGGUUCGAAAGCUCGGGGAGCAAACAGGAUUAGAUACCCUGGUAGUCCGAGCCGUAAACGAUGGACACUAGGUGUCAUGGGUAUCGACCCCCGUGGUGCCGUAGCUAACGCGUUAAGUGUCCCGCCUGGGGAGUACGGUCGCAAGACUGAA
rnacentral:rRNA from 1 species